CACUUAAUAACUAGCUUAUACAACUAAAAUAACAAAUGUUAUCAAUUAAACUUAAAAGUUCUAAAGUCGUAAAAUAAAUCAUUUUCCUGCUCCUAGUACGGGCGAC
rnacentral:rRNA from 1 species